rnacentral:lncRNA from 1 species
UCGAGGCUCGGCCCUCGGAUGCCAGGCUAACCCGAUGAUCAUCCCGGGAGCAGACUAGCCUGAAGCCCCGACCGGUCGCCUCGGCUUGCGCCAGCCUUGGCCGACCAACGAGCGGAAUCUCCCGAGGCACGGCCCUCGGAUGCCAGGCUAACCCGAUGUAAUAACCCCAAAAUAUUUUUUUUUAUAUAAAAAGGGAUAGAAUAGUCCUUUUCAAUUAAUAUAAGGGGUAAAAUAGGAAAGAAUCAAAAGAUAAUGGCAUAGUUGUAGAUGCAUUGAAGUGGUAGGGUAAAAUUGGAAGGAAUCAAAAGUUAAUGGCAUAACGGUAGAUAUGUUGAAGUGUUAGGGGCAAAAUGGGAAUUUAAUAAUAUUAAACAAAGGUGAAUAGUGCUUUGAUGUGAUUUAAAUGGGGUGGUUGGUGGCUCAGGGGAUGAAACCGAGAGAGAGUCACAGAGAGGGGGUUCUCAGGCGUGGAGAAAAAGAAGGAAAGAAAAGGAGAAGAAGAAGAAGAAGAAAGAAGAAGAGGAAGGGGAUUCGAGGAGGAGGAGGAUCCCGGUUGCACUUCCAGCUGAAGGGAAAAACGUAGAUCUCCUUCCCCUCUACGCAAGGACCUCAAUUUCCAAAAAGAAAAAGGUAAAUAUCCGUCCCUAUCUAGUCUUUUGAUGACAUUAGGCUAUACAAAGGGUGGAUAUAGUCUAGAGAGGUCGGAUAAGGGUUGUAGAGGCGGUUAAAAGAAGAAGAAUCGGAUUUUAACAAAUUUUUCCGGCACUACGGAAAAACUGUGUCGAAGUCCCAACUUCGGCAAAUUAUU